rnacentral:lncRNA from 1 species
GCUGCAAGACACCCUGCUUCUGGCUCUGAGCUUUGCUUGUCUUCAGGGAUGGAGCCCCUCCCAAGGCAAGUUCAACUGGGUUCUUUGGCAGCCGAAGUCUACACGGACCCUGCAGGGAGCGGUGGAGAAAAGUUAGAUGUCUGAAGUGUUUUUCAUUGGACCAAAAUCAAGGUGUUGGCUGGGCUACCUUCCCUUCUGGAGACUCUAAGGAAGAAUCCAUUUCCUUGUCUUUUCCAGAUCCUAGAGGCUACCUGCAUUCCUUGGCUUUUAUCCCCAAUCUUCCAUCUUCGGAGCCAGCAACAAUAUAUUGAUCAUGAGGAGAGGGCUCACCCCUCACCCGGAGAAGUAGUUGGGGAAGCAAUAUGCGGAAACAAAGCCAUGAAUCUGACAAGAAAUGUACUUAAGAUUGUAUAUAUGGAGAUGAAUACCCAUUGUCCUUUGCACUUUCUGGAUGAUAAAUUAGAAAAGAAAAAUCCAAAGAAUGAAGUUGUGCUAUUUGUCCUCACUUCUGAUUUGGGAAACUAGAGGAAAUUAAGAUGGGAAAAGACCAUGUGAGGACACAGUGAGAAGGAGACCAUAUGCAAAGCAGGAAGGAAGAUCUCACUGGAACCAAAAACCAGCCCUGCUGGCACCCUGAUCUUGGACUUCUAGCCUUUCUCAGAACUGUGAGAAAAUAAAUUUCUGAUGUUUCAGCCACUC